rnacentral:rRNA from 1 species
GUGCCAGCCGCUGCGGUAAUACGGAGGGUGCAAGCGUUAAUCGGAAUUACUGGGCGUAAAGCGCACGCAGGCGGUCUGACAAGUCGGAUGUGAAAUCCCCGGGCUCAACCCGGGAACUGCAUUCGAAACUGUCAGGCUGGAGUCUUGUAGAGGGGGGGUAGAAUUCCAGGUGUAGCGGUGAAAUGCGUAGAGAUCUGGAGGAAUACCGGUGGCGAAGGCGGCCCCCUGGACAAAGACUGACGCUCAGGUGCGAAAGCGUGGGGAGCAAACAGGAUUAGAUACCCUGGUAGUCCACGCUGUAAACGAUGUCGACUUGGAGGUUGUGCCCUUGAGCGUGGCUUCCGGAGCUAACGCGUUAAGUCGACCGCCUGGGGAGUACGGCCGCAAGGUUAAAACUCAAAUGAAUUGACGGGGGCCCGCACAAGCGGUGGAGCAUGUGGUUUAAUUCGAUGCAACGCGAAGAACCUUACCUGGUCUUGACAUCCACAGAAGUUUUCAGAGAUGAGAACGUGCCUUC